rnacentral:rRNA from 1 species
GUCUAUGGCCAUACGACUCUGAAUGUGCCAAUCUUGUCUGAUCUUGGAAGUUAAGCAGGGUCGGGCCUGGUUAGUACUUGGAUGGGAGAAACUCUGCUUUAGUUU